rnacentral:rRNA from 1 species
CCUACGGGUGGCAGCAGUGGGGAAUAUUGCACAAUGGGGGAAACCCUGAUGCAGCGACGCCGCGUGAGCGAUGAAGUACUUCGGUAUGUAAAGCUCUAUCAGCAGGGAAGAAAAUGACGGUACCUGAGUAAGAAGCUACGGCUAAAUACGUGCCAGCAGCCGCGGUAAUACGGAGGGAGCAAGCGUUAUCCGGAUUUAUUGGGUGUAAAGGGAGCGCAGGCGGCUUUGCAAGUCAGAGGUGAAAUACCGGGGCUCAACCCCGGAGCUGCAUUUGAAACUGUGAGGCUGGAGUGUCGGAGAGGCAGGCGGAAUUCCAAGUGUAGCGGUGAAAUGCGUAGAUAUUAGGAGGAACACCAGUGGCGAAGGCGGCCUGCUGGACGAUAACUGACGCUGAGGCUCGAAAGCGUGGGUAGCAAACAGGAUUAGAUACCCUAGUAGUC